GCCUCUUAUCCUUGGAGACUGCGUGACUGGUGUCGCUGGUGUAUUUGAUUCUGACAGAAAUGUCAGCAAAGAUUCAUCCUUACCACCCGUCAGAAGCAAAGGCAGACAAUCCUCACUUUCUACCAUUCCAGGUGGAAAAGGUCACUUGGCUGUACAGUCAGCAAGUCAGCUCUGCAGAGAACAC